UACAACCGUGCAAUUGAAAACAAGAGGCUCAGACCGGCAGAAGAACGUGCUAAGGUCACAGCGCGGCUGAUCUGCAGGGACGGGGAUGGAGUCCAAAACCGCAGCUCCCAACGCGUGUGACUGCUCCUCAUGACACACAGGAUUUAAGAAGCCUGUUCUCCAAGGGGAAAAAAAAGAUAGCUGGAGACACCUAAGUACCGUUUGCAGUCUGUGGGUACCGCACGGCCCCCUUGGAGAGGGAUGCCCAGUCACUGUGUACAACGUUAGCGGUCGGCCGAGGCCCCGAAUGUCACCCAGCGCUGCGAACCCCCCAGGACGGAUGAGUUCCCAGGCACCCUGUGAAGAAGGGCACGGUAUCCAGGCUUGAUGGCGAUUUCAGUGGGAAGGGGGACGCUUCCUGAGUCACCACAGGUGCUUGCUUUUAACGCCCAGGAUAUCUGCAAAGCUCUUCCCAACAGGCAACUCAAAACAAAAGCCAAACGUUUACACUUCGGAUCUCUCGCUCUCCAAAAUAUUGUCUAUGUGCCUUUUUCUUGACUGACACAGUUACUGCCCUGAAUUCUCUUCUGAUAAAAGUGAACGUCUUACGCAAUUGAAUUUUUAAUAUCCAGAUAACAUUU